rnacentral:misc_RNA from 1 species
UCUCCGUAGGUGAACCUGCGGAGGGAUCAUUACAGAGUAUCAUGCCCUUCGGGGUAGAUCUCCCACCCUGUGUAUUAUAUACCUUUUGUUGCUUUGGCGGGCCGCCUCGGCCACCGGCUCCGGCUGGUGCGUGCCCGCCAGAGGACCCCAAACUCUGAAUGUUAGUGUCGUCUGAGUACUAUCUAAUAGUUAAAACUUUCAACAACGGAUCUCUUGGUUCUGGCAUCGAUGAAGAACGCAGC